CGGCCAUCUGUAUCAUACAGAGAUAAGGUCUUAAUCACUGGAAUGAGAUACAUUUGCAAAGAGAAUUCCAUUUUUAGUAGUUACAAACACAUUCCAGCAUUAAUUGUGAAAUCCAUAUAUUUUUCAGUCCCAAUUAGAUGCAAGUCUCUUCAGCAUAAAUGAGAUUAAUCUUCAGCUCUCAUAAGCAUAUCAUUAAGCAAAUUUAACAAACCUGGGUCAUGUUGGGUGCAAAG
rnacentral:misc_RNA from 1 species